rnacentral:rRNA from 1 species
AGCGAACGCUGGCGGCAGGCCUAACACAUGCAAGUCGAACGAAGUCUUCGGACUUAGUGGCGGACGGGUGAGUAACACAUGGGAACGUGCCUUUAGGUUCGGAAUAACUCAGGGAAACUUGUGCUAAUACCGAAUGUGCCCUUCGGGGGAAAGAUUUAUCGCCUUUAGAGCGGCCCGCGUCUGAUUAGCUAGUUGGUGGGGUAAUGGCCCACCAAGACUACGAUCAGUAGCUGGUCUGAGAGGAUGACCAGCCACAUUGGGACUGAGACACGGCCCAAACUCCUACGGGAGGCAGCAGUGGGGAAUCUUGCGCAAUGGGCGAAAGCCUGGCGCAGCCAUGCCGCGUGGAUGAUGAAGGUCUUAGGAUUGUAAAAUCCUUUCACCGGUGAAGAUAAUGACUGUAGCCGGAGAAGAAGCCCCGGCUAACUUCGUGCCAGCCGCCGCCGUAAUAC